CCAGAGUGAUCCCUACCGAAAACUGUGGACUCUGGAUGAUAAUGAUAUGUCAAUCCAAAUCUGACAUGCCCAGGGGACGUGGAAGAAGGGGAAGGAGCAGAACUGCCACCAGUACUGGGGCUGCUGCAAAGGCUGAGGGACCCAAUGUGGAGAGCCAAGGUUGGGAAGGAUGCAGAGUCCUGUGGCUGCGAUGCCUGCAGUGGGCUGGAACAGAAAAAGGCUACUCAGUGAAAUUUGGCAAUGGACACGAACUCACUUUCUCUCUCCUAGCUGUGCUUUUCCUGCAGGGACUGAACAAGGGCAGUGUGUGCACAUGUGGGAGUGCCAGAAGCACCAGCGCAAUCCAGAUGUGCCCAGGCCCAUCUGUGUGUGAAAAUGCAGACACACCCACACUAUUUAUCAAUUAGUGUCUGCUGCUGCCAGUGUCACCAGUUCUCUGCCUGAUGAAUGAUGCUAGGCUAGACACGCCACACCCCAAGAUAUCCCGCUGCACUCAGAUACAAGACUGAAGAAGCAAGAACGUUAUAAAAAAGAAAGAAUGAAAAGAAAGAAGAAAAGCAACUAAGCCCAGAGAUGGAUCCCAAAGCUGAAGAAUUGGUUUAAUUAAAUUGAAAGCUCUGGUGCUUGUGGUAAUUGCUAUGAAGGAAUCCAUAUCCCAUCAGAACCCUCUCCCCUGGAGUUUGCUCCCUCUACUU